UACGAAGGGUGCAAGCGUUACUCGGAAUUACUGGGCGUAAAGCGUGCGUAGGCGGUUUGUUAAGUCCGCUGUGAAAGCCCUGGGCUCAACCUGGGAAUUGCAGUGGAUACUGGCAAGCUAGAGUGCGGUAGAGGAUGGUGGAAUUCCCGGUGUAGUGGUGAAAUGCGUAGAGAUCGGGAGGAACACCAGUGGCGAAGGCGGCCGGCUGGGGGUGACCUGACGCUGAGGCGCGAAAGCGUGGGGAGCGAACCGG
rnacentral:rRNA from 1 species